UGGACAACUGAGGUUCCUGCU
rnacentral:miRNA from 1 species